rnacentral:ncRNA from 1 species
AAAAAAGCGUUGAUGAGAAACAGUAGAUAGUAUUUGUCGCUUCAGAGAGCGGGCGGUCGGUGAAAGCCCUGCGGCGUUAUUAUCGAACCCGUCUUUGAGCUCCGCGCAGAACGCGGCGGGCGUCCCGUUACAGACAAAUGAGAGCGGAUUUUCCGAAUACAGGUGGUACCGCAGGCUAUUUUGUUAGUUUGUCCUGAAU